CCUGUUUUUUAAAACAAGGGUUUUACAUGUAAUAAAGUGGCUUUAUCUUCCUCUGUUGAUGCAAAAGAUCGUUCAACUUGGGCCUUGUCAUCUAUGAAGCUAUGGUUAGGACCAAAAUAUACUGAUGGUCCUACGAGACACUGGUGGUACUUUUGAGAAUUUUGUAGACUGCAGUUUGAGCAUAGUCAACGCCCUUUCCAAAGUUCUCCUACCCCUCCUCAACCUACCCAACUCAGAUGUCUUUUUACAAACAAAACAAAACCCAUGGAUUCCAAUUUGUACUGUUUGUAUACUAUUGGAUAAAUGGCCAUCCACUUGAACAUGAUCUCUUACACGCAUUCUCGCGACCGGCCAGGAAAGACGCAACAAACCGGAAUCUUCUGCGGCAAAAGCUUUAUUGCUUACAUCUUCAGGAGCAAGAGAGCAAGAGAGCAAGAGCUUUAUUGCUUACAUCUUCAGGAGCAAGAGAGAGAAUGGCGAAACCCCGUCCCUUUUUAAGGAGAAUUAUCCUCCGCCUAGGACGUAUCACUCCCUGAUUGGCUGCAGCCCAUCAGCCAAGUUGUCGUCACAGGGAAGGCAGAGCACAUGGAGUGGAGAACUACCCUUGGCACAUGCGCAGAUUAUUUGUUUACCAAUUAGAACACAGGAUGUCAGCGCCAUCUUGUAACAGCGAAUGUGAGGGCGGCUCCCCACAAUGAUCCAGAUGACACACACUUUUAAAGAAAACUGACUCUAUCUCUCUUACUCAACCAGCAGCUAUUAGUUGUCAAUAGCUCCUUAUCUAGGAAAUGCUAGAAUUUGGUCUAUCUUGAGCUUACAUAAUUCAUGUGCAUGUGCAUGCUGCCACAAGCACCUUGAGUUCAUAUGUAUAGUUACUCUACUAUGUCUGGAAGCCACUCUUUUCUUAUAGUUUUCUACUGUCGAUAAUUCUUACAAUCUUUCAAAAAAAUACAUAUUAUUUUUCAACAU
rnacentral:lncRNA from 1 species